GGACUUGAUUGUAUUGAGCCUUGGUAUGGAAACCUGCUAAGUGGUAACUUCCAAAUUCAGAGAAACCCUGGAAUUAAAAAAGGGCAAUCCUGAGCCAAAUCCGUGUUUUGAGAAGGGAUUCUCGACAUAGAAUACAAAGGAAAAGGAUAGGUGCAGAGACUCAAUGGAAGCUGUUCUAACGAAUCGAGUUAAUUACGUUGUGUUGUUAGUGGAAUUCCUUCU
rnacentral:ncRNA from 1 species